UUAGCAUAAUUGGUGCUCUUUAAAGAGCACCUAUUAUGGGAUACACGUUUUUAAACAUCCUUUUGUGUGUAAGUGUGCAUUAGUACAUGCUAACGAUAUUCAAAAAGUACAUACCUCAAAGAAAACGAUGACGCGAGUUAUCGUCUCUAACGUUCGAGGACUACAUAAAACACUCGGAUUGUAGGCAACAGUUUACUUCCUGGGAUUAGUGACGUAGAUAAGACCAACAUUAUCAUAGUUCAGCCCUCUCUGCUUUGCUUGGGUACGCCCUCAAAGACGGGGGUGGGGAGCGCCGAGUCAGAAGAGAGCUAAAAUGGCGGAGGUUGUGAGUCCCUGCUUUGACUCUGUUUGCAAACUCUUGUUUCAUUGUUUAAGCGAUUAAAUCUCUCGAGUAGACACUGUCUCUUUAGAUGCGAGGGAAAAAUAGCACUUUAUGGACUUCCACAGAGGACAUCAUGUUUAAUACGGUUCCGGAAAAAUCCAGUCAGAAGUUGUUCACGGAGUUUUCACAAUAACUGCUUCUCAUGAACCGAAGCUGGAUUUGCGCGACGUCUCCUCUUGAAAGUUGGAUUACUGUGCACUUCUGGAUCACAGGCUAUUCGCAGCUGGACACAUCCUUCUACACUGUAUGCAAACAUGCAACAUCAUUACACACAGUACAAGGAGUCAGACUGGCAUAUGAGGAGCAAAGGAACCCAGGCAGUAGCAUCGUUUCACAAUGUUUCCAUCACCAUCAUCAGUGGAUGCCUUUGCUGUCCGUAGCCUGAGAUUUCAGAUUUGCAGC